UUCAAACCAAUUUAUAAGCAGUCUGGGCUUAAGCCCAAACUGGAUGGGGGUGAGAUAUUUAACAGAAAUAGGGGUGUGGAUUGAGGAAAAGGUUUCUUUGUUUUUAUGUUUUUAUGUUUUUUUUUUUUAUUUUAAGAGAAAUGAAAUGAGUCUGGCCCAAGACUUGGCCCAAGGGUUGUGCUUCUGCAGAAGCAUUAGGGGUUCUCACGAACCUCCCUCAAACCUCUCAUUCACUCAGCCUCCAAAGACCUGAAGUCUCUCUUCCAAACGCAGCCAAAGGAAAGGUUCGUAUCCUCCGCCCACACACGCCACCGUCAGCGGCUUCAGCCAAACGAACCGGCCACCACGAGGGCGUGUCCACAGCGAUGUCAGCGCCCUCGCCGGUUGCGCCAGACCACCAUCGUUCAUCUUCUUCUCUGCGCGCGAUGGAGGAACUCUCCCUGUUCGAGAAUGCACCAGCCACCGCGGGCUAUGGCGUCGUUGGCGACUCCAAGCGUCACCGAAGCUGCCGCCCAAGUUGUCACCAACUUCACUGUUCGUCGUCGAGACCGUCUCCGGCAGCCGCCCCAACUCCUACCCUUUUCCUUUUUCGCGUUCGAGGGAGGAAGUCGCCUCACCUUGCGACGCCACCGCUGUCCUCGCCAGAGAUGCUUCCUCACCAGCGCCACCAACGCCGCUCUCUUCCCUCUCCGUUCGAGGGUUUCCUCAAAC
rnacentral:lncRNA from 1 species